UGGGGAAUAUUGGACAAUGGACCAAGAGUCUGAUCCAGCAAUUCUGUGUGCACGAUGAAGUUUUUCGGAAUGUAAAGUGCUUUCAGUUGGGAAGAAAAAAAUGACGGUACCAACAGAAGAAGUGACGGCUAAAUACGUGCCAGCAGCCGCGGUAAUACGUAUGUCACGAGCGUUAUCCGGAUUUAUUGGGCAUAAAGCGCGUCUAGGUGGUUAUAUAAGUCUGAUGUGAAAAUGCAGAGCUCAACUCUGUAUUGCGUUGGAAACUGUAUAACUAGAGUACUGGAGAGGUAAGCGGAACUACAAGUGUAGAGGUGAAAUUCGUAGAUAUUUGUAGGAAUGCCGAUGGGGAAGCCAGCUUACUGGACAGAUACUGACGCUGAAGCGCGAAAGCGUGGGUAGCAAACAGGAUUAGAUACCCUGGUAGUCCACGCCGUAAACGAUGAUUACUAGGUGUUGGGGGUCAAACCUCAGCGCCCAAGCAAAUGCGAUAAGUAAUCCGCCUGGGGAGUACGUACGCAAGUAUG
rnacentral:rRNA from 1 species